UUGCCACUUUUCCGAUUAUAUUUGAAGAGUUAGCAUAUCAAAGCUCCUCUAAUCACUUCACGAUGACAUACAGAGGUCUAAUAAAGAUCUCAACUCUCCCAGUGAGACCGCCGUCUUUGAUUCCGUCCACAGUUGCCAAGUAACCGCAGUGAGUUUUUGAGUGAGAUUAAUGACUUAAUUAAAUCCUGUCUGACAGACUGAUUAAGAAACUGGAGCACUCCUGGAAGUCUCUCAUCCAUGAUGGGGACACCGUGUCGGUUCACAGGCCUGCGUUCUACGCUGAGAGGUUCUACAAAUUCUGCAGCUCCAUCGUGUUCAGGAAGAGUAGCUCCCUAAGAUCCUCCCCAUCAAAGAGGGGCAGAGGGGCAUUUUCUACGUCCAAAUCCAGCGCGGGGAACAGCCUAGCGGGACAGCGACCCUCGCUGAGUGAAGAGAGACAGGAAAACCUGGAGAAUCUACGAGGUGCUCGCAGCUUCCCUCUGCUGGAGGACAAUGGCAGAGAUCCACCCUGCACUCCUCCUUCAUUUGAAGAUGCCACCACCGCAUCUAUUGCCACCACACUGUCUUCAAACAACUCGUUACCCACAACCCCCUUUGAUACACCAGAACACCCACGAUUUAGGAGACAAAUGAAUUCCCCCAGUCUGGUCAGGUCACAGAAACAGAUAGUUGAGGUUCAUGAAGAAAAGCAGGACACGAUUACAGUCGAGGUUGAACUAAGCAAAAUCCCAAACAGCACGGAGCUCAC